rnacentral:rRNA from 1 species
AUACGGAGGAUCCGAGCGUUAUCCGGAUUUAUUGGGUUUAAAGGGUGCGCAGGCGGGAGAUUAAGUCGGCGGUGAAAUUUUUGCGCUCAACUGGAAAAAUGCCCUCUGAAACGGUUUCCUUGAGUGUAGAUGGAGAGUGGGGGAUUUUGGGGGUGGAGGGGGAAUGCAUAGAUAUCACGAAGAACUCCGAUCGCGAAGGCAGCCUUCCGGCCCGUCAACGACGCUCAUGCUCGAAGGUGCGGGUAUCAAACAGGAUUAGAUACCCUGGUAGUCCGCACAGUAAACGAUGGACACCCGCGGUUUGGCCUAUAUGGCUGAGCCGCCAAGCGAAAGCGUUAAGUGUCCCACCUGGGGAGUACGCCGGCAACGGUGAAACUCAAAGGAAUUGACGGGG